CCUACGGGGGGCAGCAGUGGGGGAUAUUGCACAAUGGGGGGAACCCUGAUGCAGCGACGCCGCGUGGGGGAAGAAGGGCCUCGGCGCGUAAAGCCCUGUCAGCAGGGAAGAAAAUGACGGUACCUGAAGAAGAAGCCCCGGCUAACUACGUGCCAGCAGCCGCGGUAACACGUAGGGGGCAAGCGUUAUCCGGAUUUACUGGGUGUAAAGGGGGCGCAGGCGGCGGUGCAAGCCAGGAGUGAAAGCCCGGGGCCCAACCCCGGGACUGCCCUUGAAACUGCGUGGCUGGAGUGCAGGAGGGGCAGGCGGAAUGCCUGGUGUAGCGGUGAAAUGCGUAGAUAUCAGGAGGAACACCGGUGGCGAAGGCGGCCUGCUGGACUGCAACUGACGUGGAGGCCCGAAAGCGUGGGGAGCGAACAGGAUUAGAUACCCCUGUAGUC
rnacentral:rRNA from 1 species